CUUCUAGGUAUAGUUGAUUUGGGUAAGAGCCUUAUAUUUGAAUCUCCAUCUUUGAGCCAAAAAAUCCUAAACUUCUGAUGCUUCAGAAUUUACCGUGAAGUACUCUAUUGUAUUCUUUUAAUUUCUCAAGAAGCAUAGUAUAACAAAUAGUGCUCAAGCCACCAAUUCUGACAUCCAUAUAUCUUCUGCCCAACGACAUCUAUCGUGUUUGAUAACAA
rnacentral:lncRNA from 1 species